rnacentral:piRNA from 1 species
UGAACGCAGGUGGAUGUGAAGGA